rnacentral:rRNA from 1 species
UGGGGAAUUUUGGACAAUGGGGGCAACCCUGAUCCAGCCAUUUCGCGUGUGUGAUGAAGGCCUUCGGGUUGUAAAGCACUUUUGGCAGGAAAGAAAUCGCGCGGGCUAAUAUCCUGCGUGGAUGACGGUACCUGCAGAAUAAGCACCGGCUAACUACGUGCCAGCAGCCGCGGUAAUACGUAGGGUGCAAGCGUUAAUCGGAAUUACUGGGCGUAAAGGGUGCGCAGGCGGUUCGGAAAGAAGGAUGUGAAAUCCCAGGGCUCAACCUUGGAAUGGCAUUCUUAACUACCGGGCUAGAGUGUGUCAGAGGGGGGUGGAAUUCCGCGUGUAGCAGUGAAAUGCGUAGAGAUGCGGAGGAACACCGAUGGCGAAGGCAGCCCCCUGGGAUAACACUGACGCUCAGGCACGAAAGCGUGGGUAGCAAACAG